UGUGUUGUUGGGUAGGGGAGCGUUCUGUAAGCCUGUGAAGGUGUACUGUGAGGUAUGCUGGAGGUAUCAGAAGUGCGAAUGCUGACAUAAGUAACGAUAAAGCGGGUGAAAAGCCCGCUCGCCGGAAGACCAAGGGUUCCUGUCCAACGUUAAUCGGGGCAGGGUGAGUCGACCCCUAAGGCGAGGCCGAAAGGCGUAGUCGAUGGGAAACAGGUUAAUAUUCCUGUACUUGGUGUUACUGCGAAGGGGGGACGGAGAAGGCUAUGUUGGCCGGGCGACGGUUGUCCCGGUUUAAGCGUGUAGGCUGGUUUUCCAGGCAAAUCCGGAAAAUCAAGGCUGAGGCGUGAUGACGAGGCACUACGGUGCUGAAGCAACAAAUGCCCUGCUUCCAGGAAAAGCCUCUAAGCAUCAGGUAACAUCAAAUCGUACCCCAAACCGACACAGGUGGUCAGGUAGAGAAUACCAAGGCGCUUGAGAGAACUCGGGUGAAGGAACUAGGCAAAAUGGUGCCGUAACUUCGGGAGAAGGCACGCUGAUAUGUAGGUGAAG
rnacentral:rRNA from 1 species